UACAGAGGUCCCAAGCGUUGUUCGGAUUCACUGGGCGUAAAGGGUGCGUAGGUGGCCGUGGAAGUUCGGUGUGAAAGCUCCGGAGCUCAACUCCGGAAAAGUCAUUGAAUACUCUGGCGGCUAGAGGGUCGGAGGGGAGACUGGAAUUCUCGGUGUAGCAGUGAAAUGCGUAGAUAUCGAGAGGAACACCAGUGGCGAAGGCGAGUCUCGUGGACGACUCCUGACACUGAGGCACGGAAAGC
rnacentral:rRNA from 1 species